rnacentral:lncRNA from 1 species
GGGAAAUAAAGUAUUUGGCACUGUAGUAACGAAAGUGGGGACAGGUUCUUUGCUUUUGGCCCUUUUCACGACCAUGGUUUAAAAAGAGUAGCAUCACAUUGCUAUUUUGUUAAUUUGUUGUGCUUUUUUCAUACAAUCAAACCCAAAUUUGUGCGACUAAUGUCAUGCAAUUGUAUACCUUUUUCUUUUCUUUUACCCAUUAAUGGUGAAUGAAUCCAUGACCCCAAAACUUAGUAGUGGCUAGUAGCUUUCCUUCAAUUAAAAGAGAGCAAAAACAGAAUUAGCUUGACCGGAAAGGAAAAAGUACCAUUGAACACUAAAUGCAACACCAUGACCAUUAUUCAGUGUUAUACUAAACAUCACACAACCUGUUUAAGUGGAGCCUCUGUUUUUAAGGUCUCAGCUACUGCUGCAAUGCAAGUGAAAUGGGGAAGAAAGUCCAUCAGAUGUUAGUGUUUUGUCUAUAAAUGCACAGAUGAAAUAUAUCUAUGGUAGAUUGUGUAAAAGAAGAGCUUGCUGAUGUUGGCUUCCCAUGCUUUUUUUUUUAAUUGAGACAAAGAUAUAUGAAGAAGUUUUAACCUUGUAUGUAUAAAAUAAAACAUCAUUCCACUAAAAAGUAUCAUGAUAGUGUGCGAAAUGCUGAAGAAAAAAAGGUAUUAGGUUCCCACUAAAAAGUAGAAGAAUAUUGUAGAAAAAGCAAGAAAAAAACAAAGCAUGCCACUAUAGUAUGAAUUCAGACUAGCUUUCUCCAUUGUUAAGAACUUAGUAACUAUAAUUAUAUAUAUUAUUGAAAAAGAAGGUACAAAUUAAGCUGAACACCUUUUGGAGUUGGGACCAAACUCUGGGACACUACAAGUUGCUGCCAUCGCCAUCCUUUGAAAUUUCUUGCCAUUCAAAGAUUUCUGAUUUGGCUCUUUCCAUAAUGUUUUUUUGUUAGAGUUGUGUGAUACAAAUUU